GAUGAACGCUGGCGGCGUGCCUAAUACAUGCAAGUCGAGCGAACGGACGAGAAGCUUGCUUCUCUGAUGUUAGCGGCGGACGGGUGAGUAACACGUGGAUAACCUACCUAUAAGACUGGGAUAACUUCGGGAAACCGGAGCUAAUACCGGAUAAUAUUUUGAACCGCAUGGUUCAAAAGUGAAAGACGGUCUUGCUGUCACUUAUAGAUGGAUCCGCGCUGCAUUAGCUAGUUGGUAAGGUAACGGCUUACCAAGGCAACGAUGCGUAGCCGACCUGAGAGGGUGAUCGGCCACACGGGAACUGAGACACGGUCCAGACUCCUACGGGAGGCAGCAGUAGGGAAUCUUCCGCAAUGGGCGAAAGCCUGACGGAGCAACGCGGCGUGAGUGAUGAAGGUCUUCGGAUCGUAAAACUCUGUUAUUAGGGAAGAACAUAUGUGUAAGUAACUGUGCACAUCUUGACGGUACCUAAUCAGAAAGCCACGGCUAACUACGUG
rnacentral:rRNA from 1 species